rnacentral:lncRNA from 1 species
GUUGUCGGUAAAUUCUUUUUACCAACCCCCCAGUCGACCACUUCCCGGUGCCGGGGCUCUGACACCGCGCGCAGAGACAGAGGCAGGCGGCCCCCUCUCUGCUGCCCCUUCUCCCUGCUGGUCUCAUGAAUGCUCUCACCUGAGCUUCUCCUUUUCCUUUUCUACUUUCUCCUUUACCAAGGGCGCAGCUGCUCUUCGGAGAGGCAGUUGGGUCCACAGAAUCAGCUGCCUCUUGGAGAGCGGUGUGAGGUUAUGAGGGAGCUGAGGGGAAGUAAAGAGAGGGUCCAGUGUGCCUCACCUUGGUCCCACACACCGAAGGAAAGGGUUUCAGAGAGGACUGGUGGAUGCUGACACACCGUCCAUUUUGAGAAGACUCCUUGUAUGGGUGGCAGUGUGCUUCCCCAAAACUCAUGUUGAAGCCCUAACCCAUAACACCUUAGAAUGUGACUGUAUUUAGAGACUGGAUUUCUAAAGAGGCGAUUAAUUUUAAAGAGACCAUUAGGGUGAGCCCUAAUCCAAUCUGCCUGCUGUUCUUAUAAGAAGAGGAAAUUGAACCUGCAAGGAGCUAUUAGGGCCUCUUGCAGAGAGGGAUGACCGCAUGCAGAGGCCACAAGAGGGCGCCCUCUGCAAGCCAAGGAGAAACCUCAGAAGACACCAACCCUGAAGAGGAAAUUGAUGUUGGACUUCUGGCCUCCGGAAGAGACACAGAGUCUUGCUGUGUUGCACAAGCUGACCUCCAACUUCUAGGCUCAAGUGAUCCUUCCACCUCGACCUCCCGCAGUGUUGGAAUAACAGGUCUCAGCAACUCCUUUGUUGCCAACUUUUACCGGACCCAUGGGUCUGAAAGAGAAGCACAGUCCAUAGUGUUCCAGCUUUGAGUGUGGCUCUCUCAGAAGAAGGUGUGACAGCUGCCUCCUUGCUAAGAGAAAGACGUUUCAGUGUCUGCCUCCUGGGAAUGGAGUCUCCUGGUGACUCUGAGGAUGGCGCAGGACUCUCCCAGCUAACACUACACAGAGGCUCCCCCUCUUCAUGCCACCCCUUUGCCAGCUGCAGCCUGUGUGGACCCAGACACUUCUGACCCAGGCUCCAGUGCCCGCAUGUCUGAUAGCCUGUAUUUCAAACUCUGGGCUCUCCUGGACAUUCCCUCUCCAGCUGUAUAUGAUGUUAUUUUUCAGACCCAUUUACUGUUGUCCAGUGGCCUGCCAAGACCUUUAGGUGAAGACGCUGACUCCCUCGCCGGCUCUUCUUCAUUCUUUUCAAACACACGUCAGAGUGGAACGCACAUCCUUUUUGCUUCACCUUCCAGGGAGAGAACGAGUCUUGAAGCAUCAACAGCUCUUUGAACACUUCCCAGGAAGACUAUUCAAGGACAUCUCUACUGGAAUCAGAAUUAUUUCCUUGGAGAUGGAGAGCUCCAAAACCCACAGUGCUUGGAAGUGAGUAUUGUGUGGUUGGAGAUAGUUUGCAGACUUUAGAUGGUAGCUGUGGAUGGUGAACUGAAAGUCAUCCUCAGCUUAAUGAUGAGUUGUCAUUUAUAAAAGAUAUCCAAAUUUUUUAUUGCAAUUAUUGUAUAGAAGUGAUCUCACAUCUGUUCUCCUUUUCUCUGCUUCCCAAAGGUAUUAUACAGAAACACAUUGUACAAAAUGUUACUCUUUGAGGAGUUUCAUUUGUUUCAU